GUCCACGCCGUAAACGAUGAUAACUAGCUGUCCGGGCACUUGGUGCCUGGGUGGCGCAGCUAACGCAUUAAGUUAUCCGCCUGGGGAGUACGGUCGCAAGAUUAAAACUCAAAGGAAUUGACGGGGGCCUGCACAAGCGGUGGAGCAUGUGGUUUAAUUCGAAGCAACGCGCAGAACCUUACCAGCGUUUGACAUCCCGCGCUACAACCAGAGAUGGUUGGUUCCCUUCGGGGACGCGGUGACAGGUGCUGCAUGGCUGUCGU
rnacentral:rRNA from 1 species